CUCCCGAGUGCUUGCACUCAAUUGGAAAGAGGAGUGGCGGACGGGUGAGUAACACGUGGGUAACCUACCCAUCAGAGGGGGAUAACACUUGGAAACAGGUGCUAAUACCGCAUAACAGUUUAUGCCGCAUGGCAUAAGAGUGAAAGGCGCUUUCGGGUGUCGCUGAUGGAUGGACCCGCGGUGCAUUAGCUAGUUGGUGAGGUAACGGCUCACCAAGGCCACGAUGCAUAGCCGACCUGAGAGGGUGAUCGGCCACACUGGGACUGAGACACGGCCCAGACUCCUACGGGAGGCAGCAGUAGGGAAUCUUCGGCAAUGGACGAAAGUCUGACCGAGCAACGCCGCGUGAGUGAAGAAGGUUUUCGGAUCGUAAAACUCUGUUGUUAGAGAAGAACAAGGACGUUAGUAACUGAACGUCCCCUGACGGUAUCUAACCAGAAAGCCACGGCUAACUACGUGCCAGCAGCCGCGGUAAUACGUAGGUGGCAAGCGUUGUCCGGAUUUAUUGGGCGUAAAGCGAGCGCAGGCGGUUUCUUAAGUCUGAUGUGAAAGCCCCCGGCUCAACCGGGGAGGGUCAUUGGAAACUGGGAGACUUGAGUGCAGAAGAGGAGAGUGGAAUUCCAUGUGUAGCGGUGAAAUGCGUAGAUAUAUGGAGGAACACCAGUGGCGAAGGCGGCUCUCUGGUCUGUAACUGACGCUGAGGCUCGAAAGCGUGGGGAGCAAACAGGAUUAGAUACCCUGGUAGUCCACGCCGUAAACGAUGAGUGCUAAGUGUUGGAGGGUUUCCGCCCUUCAGUGCUGCAGCAAACGCAUUAAGCACUCCGCCUGGGGAGUACGACCGCAAGGUUGAAACUCAAAGGAAUUGACGGGGGCCCGCACAAGCGGUGGAGCAUGUGGUUUAAUUCGAA
rnacentral:rRNA from 1 species